UGCAGGGACACGAGUGUUCACAUGCACAGAGCUGCUGGCAGUUGGGCCCAUACCAGCCCAUGGGACAUGCAUGCUCACAGCUGGUGCCAUAGUACCCGGCCGGGCAGGAGCAGGCUCCAUGCACAGGGUCACACAAGCCACCAUUCUGGCACUGGCAUUUCUGGCUGCAAGCAUUCCCAUAGAAGCCGCUCGCACAAGCUUCGCUGCAGUUGCUGCCAACCCAGCCGGCAUCACACAGGCAUCCAGAGGCGGUGCAGGUACCAUGCAGGCUGCAGUUGGAAGGGCCACAGUCCAACGUGUCACAGGCUGGGCCUCUCCAGAAGUCCCCAGCACAGUGGCACUGCCCCUGCACGCAGUCCCCGUGGCCGCUGCAGUCUGCAGGCUCACAGGCAGGCUCGUGGACACACACAAUGGUUGAGAUGCUCCGAGGGCAUCGCCAC
rnacentral:lncRNA from 1 species